GACGUAGGAGGCGAGCGUUAUCCGGAUUCACUGGGCGUAAAGCGCGUGUAGGCGGCUUGGCAAGUCAGUUGUGAAAGCCCGGGGCCCAACCCCGGAAUUGCAUCUGAAACUGCCUGGCUAGAGUCCCGGAGAGGAAGGCAGAAUUCCCGGUGUAGGGGUGAAAUCCGUAGAUAUCGGGAGGAAUACCAGCGGCGAAGGCGGCCUUCUGGACGGUGACUGACGCUGAGACGCGAAAGCGUGGGGAGCAAACAGG
rnacentral:rRNA from 1 species